AUUGAACGCUGGCGGCAGGCCUAACACAUGCAAGUCGAGCGGAGCGGCGGACGGGUGAGUAAUGCCUAGGAAUCUGCCUGGUAGUGGGGGUAACGUUCGGAAAAGGGCGCUAAUACCGCAUACUUUUAGAUUGGCCCAGGUCGGGUUAGCUAGUUGGUGGGGUAAAGGCCUACCAAGGCCACGAUCCGUAACUGGUCUGAGAGGAUGAUCAGUCACACUGGAACUGAGACACGGUCCAGACUCCUACGGGAGGCAGCAGUGGGGAAUAUUGGACAAUGGGCGAAAGCCUGAUCCAGCCAUGCCGCGUGUGUGAAGAAGGUCUUCGGAUUGUAAAGCACUUUAAGUUGGGAGGCGUUACCAACAGAAUAAGCACCGGCUAACUUCGUGCCAGCAGCCGCGGUAAUUC
rnacentral:rRNA from 1 species